rnacentral:rRNA from 1 species
UACAGAGGGUGCGAGCGUUAAUCGGAAUUACUGGGCGUAAAGCGUGCGUAGGCGGUUAUUUAAGUCGGAUGUGAAAGCCCCGGGCUCAACCUGGGAAUUGCACUCGAGACUGAAUAGCUAGGGUGCGGUAGAGGGAAGCGGAAUUUCCGGUGUAGCGGUGAAAUGCGUAGAUAUCGGAAGGAACACCGAUGGCGAAGGCAGGUCUCUGGGCUGACACUGACGCUCAUGCACGAAAGCGUGGGGAGCAAACAGG